AUUGAACGCUAGCGGGAUGCUUUACACAUGCAAGUCGAACGGCAGCGCGGACUUCGGUCUGGCGGCGAGUGGCGAACGGGUGAGUAAUGUAUCGGAACGUGCCCAGUAGCGGGGGAUAACUACGCGAAAGCGUAGCUAAUACCGCAUACGCCCUACGGGGGAAAGCAGGGGAUCGUAAGACCUUGCACUAUUGGAGCGGCCGAUAUCGGAUUAGCUAGUUGGUGAGGUAACGGCUCACCAAGGCGACGAUCCGUAGCUGGUUUGAGAGGACGACCAGCCACACUGAGACUGAGACACGGCCCAGACUCCUACGGGAGGCAGCAGUGGGGAAUUUUGGACAAUGGGGGCAACCCUGAUCCAGCCAUCCCGCGUGUGCGAUGAAGGCCUUCGGGUUGUAAAGCACUUUUGGCAGGAAAGAAACGUCGCGGGCUAAUACCCCGUGGAACUGACGGUACCUGCAGAAUAAGCACCGGCUAACUACGUG
rnacentral:rRNA from 1 species